UAUGGUAAGGUUUAAGGUUUUUGGCGGUACGGUUAAAAUCACUGUCCAAAACCUUUGUAGGAACUCUUUUCCAACCUUUUGGAGUCAGUUAGACCCAAAAAAAAGAGAAAUGAAAAAAAAAUAUUUGGGGUUUUCAGGCUUCCUGGAGGUAAUACCCUAAUAUUAGGUUUUGGGGCUAGGGUAAGGUUUGAGGUUUUUGGCGUUAGGGUUAAAAUCACUGUCCAAAACCUUUUUAGGAACAUGUUUCAGACCUUUUGGAGUUGGUUACAUACAAAAAAAAUGUAAAAUGAAAAAAAAAAUAUUUGGGGUGUUCGGGCUUCCUGAAGGUAAUACCCGGGUAUUAGGUUAUGGGGCUAUGGUAAGGGUUCAGUUUUUUGGCAUUAGGGUUAAAAUCAUUGUCCAAAACCUUUGUAGGAACUCUUUCCAACCUUUUGGAGUUAGUUAGACCAAAAAAAAAAGAAAAAUGAAAAAAAAAUAUUUGGGGUGUUCGGGCUUCCUGAAGGUAAUACCCGGGUAUUAGGUUAUGGGGCUUAGGAAAUGUUUAAGGUUUUUGGCGUUAGGGUUAAAAUCACUGUCCAAAAACCUUUGUAGGAACUCUUUUCCAACCUUUUGGAGUUAGGUUGACCAAAAAAAAAAAAAAAAAAAAAAAAAAAAAAUAUUUGGGGUGUUCGGGCUUCCUGAAGGUAAUACCCGGGUAUUAGGUUUUGGUGCUAGGGUAAGGUUUGAGGUUUUUGGCAUUAGGGUUAAAAUCACUGUCCAAAACCUUUUUAGGAACACCUUUCAGACCUUUUGGAGUUUGUACACCAAAAAAAAAUGUAAAAUGAAAAAAAAAUAUUUGGGGUGUUCGGGCUUCCUGAAGGUAAUACCCGGGUAUCAGGUUAUGGGGCUAUGGUAAGGUUUAAGGUUUUUGGCGUUAGGGUUAAAAUCACUGUCCAAAACCUUUGUAGGAACUCUUUUCCAAACUUUUGGAGUCAGUUAGACCAAAAAAAAAUGAAAAAUGAAAUAAAAAAUAUUUGGGGUGUUCAGGCUUCCUGAAGGUAAUACCCGGGUAUUAGGUUAUGGGGCUUAGGAAAUGUUUAAGGUUUUUGGCGUUAGGGUUAAAAUCACUGUCCAAAAACCUUUGUAGGAACUCUUUUCCAACCUUUUGGAGUUAGGUUGACCAAAAAAAAAAAGAAAAAAGAAAAAAAAAUAUUUGGGGUGUUCGGGCUUCCUGAAGGUAAUACCCGGGUAUUAGGUUUUUGGGCUAGGGUAAGGUUUGAGGUUUUUGGCAUUAGGGUUAAAAUCACUGUCCAAAACCUUUUUAGGAACACGUUUCAGACCUUUUGGAGUUUGUACACCGAAAAAAAAAUGUAAAAUUAAAAAAAAAUAUUUGGGGUGUUCGGGCUUCCUGAAGGUAAUACCCGGGUAUCAGGUUAUGGGGCUAUGGUAAGGUUUAAGGUUUUUGGCGUUACGGUUAAAAUCACUGUCCAAAACCUUUGUAGGAACUCUUUUCCAACCUUUUGGAGUCAGUUAGACCAAAAAAAAGGGAAAUGAAAAAAAUAUUUGGGGUUUUCAGGCUUCCUGGAGGUAAUACCCUAAUAUUAGGUUUUGGGGCUAGGGUAAGGUUUGAGGUUUUUGGCGUUAGGGUUAAAAUCACUGUCCAAAACCUUUUUAGGAACAUGUUUCAGACCUUUUUGAGUUGGUUACAUAUAAAAAAAAAUGUAAAAUGAAAAAAAAAAUAUUUGGGGUGUUCGGGCUUCCUGAAGGUAAUACCCGGGUAUUAGGUUAUGGGGCUAUGGUAAGGGUUCAGUUUUUUAGCAUUAGGGUUAAAAUUAUUGUCCAAAACCUUUGUAGGAACUCUUUUCCAACCUUUUGGAGUUAGUUAGACCAAAAAAAAAAAAAAAAUGAAAAAAAAAUAUUUGGGGUGUUCGGGCUUCCUGAAGGUAAUAGGUUAUGGGGCUAUGGUAAGGUUUAAGGUUUUUGACGUUAGGGUGAAAAUAACUUUCCAAAACCUUUGUAGGAACUCUUUUCCAACCUUAUGGAGUUCGUUAGACCAAAAAAAAAAGAAAAAUGAAAAAAAAAUAUUUGGGGUGUUCGGGCUUCCUGAAGGUAAUACCCGGGUAUUAGGUUAUGGGGCUUAGGAAAUGUUUAAGGUUUUUGGCGUUAGGGUUAAAAUCACUGUCCAAAAACCUUUGUAGGAACUCUUUUCCAACCUUUUGGAGUUAGGUUGACCAAAAAAAAAAGAAAAAUGAAAAAAAAAUAUUUGGGGUGUUCGGGCUUCCUGAAGGUAAUACCCGGGUAUUAGGUUAUGGGGCUAUGGUAAGGUUUAAGGUUUUUGACGUUAGGGUGAAAAUAACUGUCCAAAGCCUUUGUAGGAACUCUUUUCCAACCUUUUGGAGUCAGUUAGACCAAAAAAAAUGAAAAUGAAAUAAAAAAUAUUUGGGGUGUUCAGGCUUCCUGAAGGUAAUACCCGGGUAUUAGGUUAUGGGGCUUAGGAAAUGUUUAAGGUUUUUGGCGUUAGGGUUAAAAUCACUGUCCAAAAACCUUUGUAGGAACUCUUUUCCAACCUGUUGGAGUUAGGUUGACCAAAAAAAAAAAGAAAAAAGAAAAAAAAAUAUUUGGGGUGUUCGGGCUUCCUGAAGGUAAUACCCGGGUAUUAGGUUUUGGGGCUAGGUUAAGGUUUGAGGUUUUUGGCAUUAGGGUUAAAAUCACUGUCCAAAACCUUUUUAGGAACACGUUUCAGACCUUUUGGAGUUUGUACACCGAAAAAAAAAUGUAAAAUUAAAAAAAAAUAUUUGGGGUGUUCGGGCUAAGGUUUAAGGUUUUUGGCGUUACGGUUAAAAUCACUGUCCAAAACCUUUGUAGGAACUCUUUUCCAACCUUUUGGAGUCAGUUAGACCCAAAAAAAAGAGAAAUGAAAAAAAUAUUUGGGGUUUUCAGGCUUCCUGGAGGUAAUACCCUAAUAUUAGGUUUUGGGGCUAGGGUAAGGUUUGAGGUUUUUGGCGUUAGGGUUAAUAUCAAUGUCCAAAACCUUUGUAGGAACAUGUUUCAGACCUUUUGGAGUUGGUUACAUACAAAAAAAAUGUAAAAUGAAAAAAAAUAUAUUUGGGGUGUUCGGGCUUCCUGAAGGUAAUACCCGGGUAUUAGGUUAUGGGGCUAUGGUAAGGGUUCAGUUUUUUGGCAUUAGGGUUAAAAUUAUUGUCCAAAACCUUUGUAGGAACUCUUUUCCAACCUUUUGGAGUUAGUUAGACCAAAAAAAAAAAAAAAUGAAAAAAAAAAAUAUUUGGGGUGUUCGGGCUUCCUGAAGGUAAUACCCGGGUAUUAGGUUAUGGGGCUAUGGUAAGGUUUAAGUUUUUUGACGUUAGGGUGAAAAUAACUUUCCAAAACCUUUGUAGGAACUCUUUUCCAACCUUAUGGAGUUCGUUAGACCAAAAAAAAAGAAAAAUGAAAAAAAAAUAUUUGGGGUGUUCGGGCUUCCUGAAGGUAAUACCCGGGUAUUAGGUUAUGGGGCUUAGGAAAUGUUUAAGGUUUUUGGCGUUAGGGUUAAAAUCACUGUCCAAAAACCUUUGUAGGAACUCUUUUCCAACCUUUUGGAGUUAGGUUGACCAAAAAAAAAAAGAAAAAAGAAAAAAAAAUAUUUGGGGUGUUCGGGCUUCCUGAAGGUAAUACCCGGGUAUUAGGUUUUGGUGCUAGGGUAAGGUUUGAGGUUUUUGGCAUUAGGGUUAAAAUCACUGUCCAAAACCUUUUUAGGAACACCUUUAAGACAUUUUGGAGUUUUACACCAAAAAAAAAAUGUAAAAUGAAAAAAAAAUAUUUGGGGUGUUCGGGCUUCCUGAAGGUAAUACCCGGGUAUCAGGUUAUGGGGCUAUGGUAAGGUUUAAGGUUUUUGGCGUUAGGGUUAAAAUCACUGUCCAAAACCUUUGUAGGAACUCUUUUCCAAACUUUUGGAGUCAGUUAGACCAAAAAAAAAUGAAAAAUGAAAUAAAAAAUAUUUGGGGUGUUCAGGCUUCCUGAAGGUAAUACCCGGGUAUUAGGUUUUGGGGCUAGGGUAAGGUUUGAGGUUUUUGGCAUUAGGGUUAAAAUCACUGUCCAAAACCUUUUUAGGAACAUGUUUCAGACCUUUUGGAGUUGGUUACAUACAAAAAAAAUGUAAAAUGAAAAAAAAAAUAUUUGGGGUGUUCAGGCUUCCUGAAGGUAAUACCCGGGUAUUAGGUUAUGGGGCUAUGGUAAGGGUUCAGUUUUUUGGCAUUAGGGUUAAAAUUAUUGUCCAAAACCUUUGUAGGAACUCUUUUCCAACUUUUUGGAGUUAGUUAGACCAAAAAAAAAAGCAAAAUGAAAAAAAUAUAUUUUGGGUUUUCGGGCUUCCUGAAGGCAAUACCCGGGAAUCAGUUUCUGGGGCUUUGGAAAGGUUUAAGGUUUUUGGCGUUAGGGUUAAAAUCACUGUCCAAAACCUUUGUAGGAACUCUUUUCCAAGCUUUUUGAGUUAGUUAGACCAAAAAAAAUGAAAAAUGAAAUAAAAAAUAUAUUGAUUGCAAAAAUAUAUCAAGGUCCAAAGGUGGUGUGCGCACUUGUCUGUGGUCAUUUACCAUUAUAAUGAAUGGGAGGCGCAGUUUCUACCAAAACACUUGCUGCAGACAAACUUCAUGAUCCAUAUGAAAAAAGUCUGGACCAUGAGUGAGGGCACAAACACAGCUAGUAUAUAUCCAAAUGGCAAGUUGCUCCUCCUUUCGGUUUUGCAGAGAGAGCGGUGUGUUUGAGCCAUUGAGCGAUGGGCAGGAAAAACUUGACUUUUUCUCCUGCCUUGGGGGGGGCGCUCUUUUGGUGAGAAAAAAAUGACUUCACAAAUGUUUUGAUGGCUGAACAUUGCAUCAUCCUAGAAAACUUGGAUGAGUGGCCAAAACUUCUUUGUCUGCUGUAAAAUCAAAUUGGAUUAAUAUUUUUUCCAGAUUUUUUUUUGUACAUCUCUUAUUUUACUUCUGCCCUGUUCAAAACUAGCAAAUGUUUCAUUGAAACUUUGGCGCCACUCAGUGGCCAUAACUACUUUGUCUGCUGUUAAUAGACAACUCCCUUUGGCGCCACUCAGUGGCCAAAACAAUUUGUAAUCAUGUGGAUUUUUGGGUUAUCUUUGGCGCCCCCUAGAACGUAAACCGUGGGGUUCAGCAUCAUGAUUUGUACAACUUUGAAUGGCCAUGGGAUGUAGAUUGGCCUGAGCAAAUUUGGUGUCGGUGGGACAAAAGCCUUAGGAGUUAGCCACAUUCCAAUGUGUGUGAAUCGGCAAAAAAUGCGAAAUAGUCCUUUAACCGUACAUUUUACAGCUAGUGCGCUUUGACUUUUUUGUAGAUCUUAUUGAGAUACACGUGAUUGUCAAAUUUUGUGUCAAUAUGACAAAGCGCACAGGCGUGACACUCAACAAUGUGUAUUUUCACCUUAGGGGACAAGAAAAAAUUGCCUUUUUUCUCCUGCCAUGGGGGGGCGCUCUUUUGGGGAGAAAAAAUUCCUUCAAAAAUGUGUUGAUGGCUGGACAUUGCAUCAUCCUAGAAAACUUGGAGGCCAGUGAGGACAAAAAUAAAAAGUUAUAAGACUUUUAAGAAUGUGGAUUUUUGGGUUAUCUUUGGCGCCCCCUAGAACCUAAACCGUGGGGUGCAGCGUCAUGAUUUGUACAACUUUGAAUGGCCAUGGGGAGUAGAUUGGCCUGAGCAAAUUUGGUGCCGGUGGAACGAAGGCCUUCGGAGGAGUUAGCCACAUUCCAAUGUGUGCGGAUCGGCAAAAAAUGCAAAAUAGCCCUUUAACCGUACAUUUCACUGAUACGCCUACACUGACUUUUUUGUAGACCUUAUUGAGAUACACGUGUGUGUCAAUUUUUGUGUCAAUAUGACAAAGCGUACAGGCGUGACACUCGAUAGUGUGAAUUUUCACCUUAGGGGGCGCUUUGGAGCCAUUUUGCAAAUAAUUUUUUCAGCGACUUCAGAAUAUCGAAUUUUUUACCAGGCCCGGUCGUCCUGCCAAAUUUCAUGAGUUUUCGCCAGUGGGAAGUGGGCCAUUUUCCCCUUCAAAGGGGAGGAAAAAUAAGAAAAAGAAAGAAAGAAAGAAAGACUAGGGCCCCGUUGGGGCACUGGCGGGCCCGAGCCGUGUCGCGCACCCCCCCCCAACGCGAUCGCCUCCCCGUCCCAUUCGCGUCCUCUGGCCAUCGCCCUCUCUGGUAACGCCCAUCACUGCAAAGACCCUUUUACUUCAUCGGCGUUUGCUAUUCUUCCUGCCAUUGCGUGUUGCUUUCACUUACACUUGCCACAGCCAGCCUCAUGAGUGCCUGGCCUGGUUUGACCUUUGCUCACCAUGAUUGUGUGACCUUGGUAUCGGCUACUUGGGAAGUUCCACCGUCGUGGCAAAGCUUUGUUUGCGUGCUGUGCUCAACCACCUAUUUUCUAUGGAUGUGUAAGUAAACCACUUUCUUUUCUAACACAAUGACACACUCAUCUUUUAGGGAGAAAAA